rnacentral:lncRNA from 1 species
UCGCAUUCUUGUUGUGGACCCCCGGUUCCCUGGUUCGUGCCAUGACUCUUGGGUGUGGCAGCGUAACCCGCUGCGUGCACGCCUAGCCGCACAACUGCAGCCUGGCGAGUAUCUGCUUGGAGACUCAGGAUAUCCUCUCGAGCCAUGGCUGCUUGUUCCAGUACCUGGCAGCCAUGCCGGCACCACCUCUGAAGGCCACUACAACCAGGAGCACGCAUCCAUGCGCAAUGUUGUGGAGAGAUGUAUCGGGGUGUUGAAAAGCAAGUUCCGCUGCUUGCAGCGCUUUCGGACACUGCUGUACAGCCCCGAUAGAGCAGCGCGAAUCAUUUAUGCAUGCGUUGCUCUCCAUAACAUUGCCUUGGAGGCGGGCGACUGGACAUUGGACGAUUAUGGUGGGGAAGUGCCACCAGCUGAGGAGCCAGAAGAGCCAGGAGACACCCAGGUGCUGGCACCACACGACAUGUUCCUCAGAGGAAGGCAGCAGCGCAGCGCCGUUGUCAACCUUUUCUGAAGGACACAGGAAUGGUGCUCAGCGAUGUCCUGCGCUAUGGCGCGCACCUGUUCCAGGAUCCCCUCCUGGGCUGCUGCCGUCCGUUCUGCCGCGACAGCGAGGCGGGUUGUUGAAGCCUCGAUUCUGCGCAGCACCUGGAAUGAAUAAUCAUGGUGGAACUGUUCGCAUCAGUUGCUGAUUACUCGCAACCAG